ensembl:lncRNA
CCAACAGAGGACUUCCAGACUGGAACUAAACCACUGCCUCUCCGGGGUCUCCAGCCUGCCAGCCCACACGUCAGAUUUGGACGUGCCAGCCUCAAUAACUGCAUGAGCCAAUUCUUCGUAAAAAGUCUACUUCUUCAUGUACACAUCCUCUUCACUCUCUUUCUCUGGGGAAUCCUGACUAAUACAUCCGGUGCAGACAAGCUUCUCCCCAGUGUGGUUGGUCUGAUUCACACUCACCCUGGAAGGGUCUAGCUUUCCUGUCUCUCACCUCCUUGUGGGGUGUGAAAGCCAAGUGGAUUUUUGUCAGUCUGAUGGAAUCCGAUGCAGGAUCCCACAUUGCGUUUGGUUGUCUCAUCUCCUGCAGGGUUUCACAAGUUCUCAGUCUUUCUUUGCCAUUCAUGAAGUUGACAUCCAUGAAGAGCACUGAGCUGCUCCAGUGUCAUGGGAAGACUCCUCAAAGCCCCAGCUCUGUUAAUUAAAUGAAACAAAACCAUCCUACACCACAACUGCUGGGCACGCUCACGCAGAGUAUCCAAAGAAG